rnacentral:rRNA from 1 species
GGAUAAUYUAAACGGCCGCAGAAUUUUAACUGUGCUAAGGUAGCAUAAUCAUUUGUUCUUUAAUUGAGGACUAGCAUGAACGGUUUAACGAAAUUAGACUAUUUUUUUUAUACACAGUAAAAUUUUAUCUUAAAGUUAAAAAGCUUUAAUAAAAUAAAAAGACAAAAAGACCCUGUAGAGUUUAAUUUCUUAUAUUAAAAAUAAUUUUCUUAGAAAUUUUGUUGGGGCAACAAAGAAAAAAUAAAUUUUUCUUAAUUUAAAACUAUAUAAAAUCAUUAAUUUAAUAAAACAAAAUAAAUUACCUCAGGGAUAACAGCGUAAUUUUCUUAAAGAGUCCAAAUCGAAAAGAAAAAUUAC